GACGAACGCUGGCGGCGUGCUUAACACAUGCAAGUCGAACGGAAAGGCCUCUUUCGGGGGGUACUCGAGUGGCGAACGGGUGAGUAACACGUGAGUAACCUGCCCUUGACUUUGGGAUAACUUCAGGAAACUGGGGCUAAUACCGGAUAGGAGCUCCUGCUGCAUGGUGGGGGUUGGAAAGUUUCGGCGGUUGGGGAUGGACUCGCGGCUUAUCAGCUUGUUGGUGGGGUAGUGGCUUACCAAGGCUUUGACGGGUAGCCGGCCUGAGAGGGUGACCGGCCACAUUGGGACUGAGAUACGGCCCAGACUCCUACGGGGGGCAGCAGUGGGGAAUAUUGCACAAUGGGUGGAAGCCUGAUGCAGCAACGCCGUGUGCGGGAUGACGGCCCUCGGGUUGUAAACCGCGUUCGCUCAUGACGAAGCUUUGUGUGACGGUAGUGGGUAAAGAAGCACCGGCUAACUACGUG
rnacentral:rRNA from 1 species